rnacentral:rRNA from 1 species
GAUGAACGCUGGCGGCGUGCCUAAUACAUGCAAGUCGAGCGAACGGACGAGAAGCUUGCUUCUCUGAUGUUAGCGGCGGACGGGUGAGUAACACGUGGAUAACCUACCUAUAAGACUGGGAUAACUUCGGGAAACCGGAGCUAAUACCGGAUAAUAUUUUGAACCGCAUUGUUCAAAAGUUAAAGACGGUCUUGCUGUCACUUAUAGAUUGAUCCGCGCUGCAUUAGCUAGUUGGUAAGGUAACGGCUUACCAAGGCAACGAUGCAUAGCCGACCUGAGAGGGUGAUCGGACACACUGGAACUGAGACACGGUCCAGACUCCUACGGGAGGCAGCAGUAGGGAAUCUUCCGCAAUGGGCGAAAGCCUGACGGAGCAACGCCGCGUGAGUGAUGAAGGUCUUCGGAUCGUAAAACUCUGUUAUUAGGGAAGAACAAAUGUGUAAGUAACUGUGCACAUCUUGACGGUACCUAAUCAGAAAGCCACGGCUAACUACGUG